rnacentral:rRNA from 1 species
CAGGGAAUCUUCGGCAAUGGGGGCAACCCUGACCGAGCAACGCCGCGUGAGUGAAGAAGGUUUUCGGAUCGUAAAGCUCUGUUGUAAGAGAAGAACGUGUGUGAGAGUGGAAAGUUCACACAGUGACGGUAACUUACCAGAAAGGGACGGCUAACUACGUGCCAG